AGACCCGUUACCAGGGUUACCUGCGACUUCGAUUUGGACGGAUGAGGUUUGCACCUGGGCUCCAAAAGCAGCCGCGCUCCGAGAAUGAUUUGCCCGGCAACUGGACAGCAAUGGUUGGAAGAAUAACGCGUCCCCCAAGAUGUACUUGUCCUUACCCCGAGGACCCAUGAAAAUGUCAUCUGCUGUGGAAAGAGGAAUUUGGCCAAUGUGCUCAAGGCUCUCGAGGUGGAAAGAUGACUCUGGAUUAUCCAGCUGUAACUGGACUCCACCUGCCCCUGGCAAUAGAAAUAUCAAUGUGGGGUCUCUGAGAAUGGCAGACUGUGCAUCACUGGAGUGAAAAGACAUUGUGCAGUCCAGCCCUGCACUUGGCAGGUGAAGAACUUGGCUGGAGCGAGGAAGAGUGGGCCCGGGGCAGGUGAGUGGGCCCUGGGGGGCGGUGGCUCUGCCCCGGUGCCACCCGUCAUGGCUGCUGUUGGUACUGGCUCUCUGUGGCCGUGUAGAAGUCGUCCAGCACACUCUGGAUAUAUUCGAAGGUGGGCCGCUCCUCCGGGCGGUUCUUCCAGCAGCGCAUCAUGAUGCUGUAGAGCUCCUCGGGGCAGUGCUCUGGUCGCGGCAUCCGGUACCCGUGUUCCAGCGCCCGGAUCACCUCGGGGUUGGACAUCCCUGAGAAGGAGCCGGGGAGGUAGAAAGGGAAGGCUUGGGAAAUGGGGCCCAGGGUAGACAGUGGUUUCCAUGACGGCCGUCCCUCCCCACCUCCUCUUGCAAGCUGCGCUCCUCUGCCUGUGAAAGCCAUUCAUUCCAUUUCCCAGCCUCCCUUGCAGCUGGGACAUGGGCAUGGGCCCCAGUUUUGGCUAAUGGGAGCUGCUGGGAGAUUUCCUCCCUGAUUGGAAGAGGGACUUUGGGGAAGUUCACGCACUGCCUCCCUCCCUUCCCCUGACUCUCUGCGGCAGGAGAGCACUGGCAGUGCAGCAGUCAUCUGACCACCAGAGAGAAGCUAGCCCAGGGUCCUGAUCGCCGCUGGGCCCUGCCUCACCAGCCCCAGUGCCAGGCUUCCUGUGAUGGGAGGAUAACUCGUCUGUUGUUCCAGCGUCCUCAGGUGUUGUUUUGCUGCUGACAGCCUAAUGCAUCAUACAAACCACUGCCUGGUUUUUACUGGUGUACACUUGAGACAAAACAGCCAGGUGACUGUACUCAGUGCCACCUUAUGAGCGGUACCAUUUCCUUGUUCAAUAUGUUUAUAUUAAUUAUCCAUCAGAAUAGUCAUUGAAUGUCUAUGAUCACAAAUUUUAUAUGAUUGGUCUUGAAUGCCAAAUUCAUAUUUCAGUGCUCCAUUAAACAUCCUUGCUUGGCUGUCUGAAUCACUCAGACAUACCUUGAAUUUCUGCUCCCAAACCCUUACCCACCUGUUGCUCAGUUAAAGCCAAGAUAAUCAUCCUUGGUUCUCCCUCCUUCACCUCUGCAGCAGCAAGUCAUAUGUUUGCUCCUUUGGAAGAUAAUUUCACCUCAUCAACUUCAUCUGUGCUGCCAGUGCAGCCACUCUGUUCUGGCCAUCGCCACCUCUGUCUGGGCCAUUGCUGCAGCUGCCUCACAGGCUGCCACCCUGUUCCCCUUCCCUCCCACACACUCCCCUUAAAAGCAGGGGCCAGCAUUGUAGAGCAGUGGGUUAGGCCGCCACCUGCAAUGCUGGCAUCCCAUACGGGCACCAGUUUGUAUCCUGGCUGCUCCACUUUCAAUCCAGCUCCCUGCUAAUGUGCCUGGAAAAGCAGUGUAGUAUGGCUCAAGUGCUUGGGCCCCUCACCCACGUGGGAGACCUGGAAGAAGCUCCUGGCUUCAGCCUGGCCCAGCCCUGGCCAUUGUGGAUGGAAGAUCUCCCCCUCUUUCUCUCCCACUCCCUCUCUGUAACUCUGCCUUUCAAAUAAUUUUUAAAAAGAUUUAUUUAUUUAUUUGAAAUCAGAUUAACAGAGAGGCAGAAGCAGAGAGAGAGAGAGAGAGGGAGAGAGAGAGAGAGAGAUCGAUCUUUCAUCUGCUGGUUCUGCUGGUUCACUCUCCAAAUGGCUGCAAUGGUCACGGCUGAGCCAGGCCAAAGCCAGGAGUCAGGCUCUUCUUCUGGGUCUCCCAUGUGGGUGCAAGUACUUGGGCCAUCUUCCGCUGCUUUUCCAGGCACAUUAGCAGGGAGCUCGAUCAGAAUUGGUGCAGCUGGGAUUUGAACCAGUGCCCAUAUGGGAUGCUGGCUCUGCAGGCGGCAGCUUUACUUGCUACACCACAGUGCCAGCUCCUCAAAUAAAUUUUUAAAGAUCUCUAUCAAAAUAAAUUAAAAAGUGGAAACUGUAUGAUGUUACUUCCCAGCCUCAAAUUCUCCAGUGGUUUCCUGCACAGUUAGACCAACACCCACUCUUCACCGUGGCCGUGGGCCCUGCUGACCAUAUCAUCUGCAUCUGCUUUCGUUCCUUGUCUCUGGUUACUUGGCUUCCUUACUGUUAUGCAGUCACACCUAAAGGCCCUACAAGCCAGCAGUGCCAUCUGCCCAGAAUCCCUUCUCCAGAUAGUCCUCAGCUCUCGGCUCAGCUAUGACCUGCUCUGAGAGUUGGUCUGUCUGCUGGAGCCCACACUGCUCCCUCUCACACCCCCUGCUUUCUCUCCCUCCAUCCAGCAGUGGUUGCUCAGUGUGUGUUCCUCAGGGUAGAAUGUGGGCUCCUGAUGAUAGGUGCUCUGGAUGAGCAGGGAUCAUGUCUCUUAUGGAACCUGCGGUGCCUGGCACACGGUAGGAAUUCAGUAAAUAUUCCUGAAGGAACCCAGUGUCUACCUCUUUUAUUGCUGAACCCUACAACCACCACUGAAGGUAGACAUCAUUACCUGUGUAUUUAUAGGUGAAGACCCUGGGGCAGGAGGAGUGCAGUGAAUUUAUCAUAAUUUAAUAGCUGAUGGUGAGAGGAUUCAAAUUCAGUACUAUUUAUAUAGAAAGUCAGGGGCUUUUUUUUUUUUUUUUUUUUGACAGGCAGAGUUAGACAGUGAAAGAGAGAGAGAGAGAAAGGUCUUCCUGCCGUUGGUUCACCCCCCAAACGGCCACUACAACUGGCGUGCUGCGCCGAUCUGAAGCCAGGAGCCAGGUGCUUCCUCCUGGUCUCCCAUGCGGGUGCAGGGCUCAAGCACUUGGGCCAUCCUCCACUGCCUUCCUGAGCCACAGCAGAGAGCUGGACUGGAAGAGGGGCAACCGGGACAGAAUCCAGUGCCCCAACUGGGACUAGAACCUGGUGUGCCGGUGCCACCAGCGGAGGAUUAGCCAAGUGAGUCGCGGUGCCGGGGGCUCUUUCUAUCAGUGUUAUCCCAGUGUUCUUUUUUUAUUUUAUUUUUUAAUUUUUUUAAAUUUUUGACAGGAAGAGUGGAUAGUGAGAGAGAGAGAGACAGAGAGAAAGGUCUUCCUUUGCCAUUGGUUCACCCUCCAAUGGCCACCACGGCCAGCGCGCUGCGGCCAGCACACUGUGCUGAUCCGAUGGCAGGAGCCAGGUGCUUAUCCUGGUCUCCCAUGGGGUGCAGGGCCCAAGCACUUGGGCCAUCCUCCACUGCACUCCCUGGCCACAGCAGAGAGCUGGCCUGGAAGAGGGGCAACCGGGACAGAAUCCGGCGCCCCGACCGGGACUAGAACCGGGUGUGCCAGUGCUGCUAGGUGGAGGAUUAGCCUGUUGAACCACAGCGCCGGCCAUAUCCCAGUGUUCUGACUAUAGAUACCCAGAGACAACCCAAUGGAAAAAGGAACAGAGAACAACAUUAUGUACUAAGUACCAGUACAUCUAUAUGCUGGGUACAUCUUUGAAUAUCCACAUGGCCCACUCAGUGUAGGGUACUGCUCAUGGACACAAGGAUACAUCCAGCCACUCAACAAAUAAUUGUUAAGUACGCACUACAUGCCAAGUCAGAGGUGGGCAGUGCAGACCCACAAGUGAGGAAUACAGACAUGAUUUCUGGCCCCCUGGAACCUGAGUCUGAUGGAGAAAAUAGGUAGCAAAUACACAGUUGUCAAGUGGGUGAGUGCUACCAACGAAGCAGGAUAGGCUGUUGGGAAGAGAACCACGGGGCAGGAGCCUGGAGCUUUAGGUUAUGGGGUGGGGGAUGCAGCAGGAGUUACAGCUGGAGGCAGGGGCUGGAUCGCCUGGCACCAUCGGGCCAGAUGAGGAGUUUGGGAGUCUAUCUUGCUUGUAAUGGGAGAUCACUCAAGAGGAGUGGAGAAGUGAUGAGCCCUGAUUCACAAUUUAGGAAACCAGCCCACAGGAGAGAGAUGGCAGACAGCACUGAGGCUGAUGCCGAGGCCGUGCACAGCCCCAUGAGCACCAGCAGCGGCCUGGACCUGGGUGGAGGCCGUGCAGUGGGAAGUGCGCAGACUUGGGAAACAUUGUGGAGUUGAGUAGCUAGAAGCUCGUGACCACUGGGAUGUGGUAAGGGGUGCGGGAGAAGAGGGGCCAGGGAAGCCUGCAGCCUGCUGGGCAGUGGCAGCGACUGUAACGGAGAUGGGAGCGACAAGAGAAGGCUGGGGUGAUGGUCAGGAGUGCCCUUUGGAGAGAACGAUCCAACAUGGGAAGUGGGAGACACAGCAGACUCAUAGAAUGGCAGAUGUCCUAAAUAGCAUUCUGGUCUCAGAAUCAGCCCUUGAGGCAUUUGGAUCUGGCUGAAGAGCCCAGGAGAGUAUUUUAGGCAUGGAAAGCCAAGACACUCUGGGAAAAAAAAGGAAACCUAAAUGAAAGACCUCAGCGAGUGUGAUCCCAGUGGAAAAAAAGGGGCCAUCAAAGUAGGAGGUACCUUUCUCUGAAGGGAGGAGAGAACUUCCACUUUGACUAUGACCCUGUCAGAAUCAGAUCGAAGUCGGCGAACCCUAAAGGUUUCCAUAGCCUCGACAACUCAUGACUAGAGCCUAGGGAGAUUACUGACGCCAUAAACAAGAGUGUUAAAUUGUUAAAUCAACAUCAAGAGUCACUGUGUACUUACGUCCCAUGUGGGAUCUGUCCUUAAUGGGUUGUCCAAUGUGAAGUAAUGCUAUAGCUAGUACUGAAACAGUAUUUUUACACUUUGUGUUUCUGUGUGGGUGCAAACUGAUGAAAUCUUUACUUAGUAUAUACUGAAUCGAUCUCCUUAUAUAAAGAUAAUUGAAAAUGGAAAAAAAAAGCUUGGUAUUAAAUUGGAAAUUACAUAGAAAAUUAAUCAGUUUUAAAAAAAUAUCAUGUAGAAUCUCUGUCCUUAAUGUGCUGUACACUGUGAUUUAAUGCUAUAACUGGUACUCCAACAGUAUUUUUCACUUUGUGUUGCUAUGUGAGGGCAAACUGUUGAAAUCUUUACUUUAUAUAUACUAAACUGAUUUCAUGUAUAUAAAGAGAAUUGAAAAUGAAUCUUGAUGUGAAUGGAAGG